rnacentral:rRNA from 1 species
GGGAUUGCCUUAGUAACUGCGAGUGAAGCGGCAAAAGCUCAAAUUUGAAAUCUGGCGUCUUCGGCGUCCGAGUUGUAAUUUGGAGGGAUAUCUUCGGGGUUGGCGCCGUCCUAAGUUCCUUGGAACAGGACGUCAUAGAGGGUGAGAAUCCCGUGCCUGGAUGGCUGCCCAACUCCAUGUGAAGUGUCUCCGACGAGUCGAGUUGUUUGGGAAUGCAGCUCAAAAUGGGUGGUAAAUUUCAUCUAAAGCUAAAUAUUGGCGAGAGACCGAUAGCGCACAAGUAGAGUGAUCGAAAGAUGAAAAGCACUUUGAAAAGAGAGUUAAAAAGUACGUGAAAUUGUUGAAAGGGAAGCGCUUGCGACCAGACUCGAUCUUUGGUGAUCAGCCGGGCUUCGGUUCGGUGCCCUCACCAUUGAUUGGGCCAGCAUCGGUUCUGACGGCGGGAUAAAAGGAGGAGGAAUGUGGCUCCCUUCGGGGAGUGUUAUAGCCUCCUUCACAAUGCCGCCAGUUGGGACCGAGGACCGCGCUUCGGCUAGGAUGCUGGCGUAAUGGUCUUAAGCGACCCGUCUUGAAACACGGACCAAGGAGUCUAACAUCUAUGCGAGUGUUCGGGUGGAAAACCCUUGCGCGUAAUGAAAGUGAACGGAGGUGUGAACCCUUUACGGGGUGCAACAUCGACCGGUCCUGAUGUCUUCGGAAGGAUCUGAGUAAGAGCAUAGCUGUUGGGACCCGAAAGAUGGUGAACUAUGCCUGAAUAGGGUGAAGCCAGAGGAAACUCUGGUGGAGGCUCGCAGCGGUUCUGACGUGCAA